rnacentral:rRNA from 1 species
AUGAUAAAAUAGCGCGGGCGGAGGGCGUUUUUAUAGAGGGUUUAAGGGGCUGUGUGGUGCUGAACCGUUGGGAUUAGUCGAAGGGGUUGGUUAAGCUAAGGGGCAGCGGCUCGAGGGGGAGGGUUGGGAUCGCGGUCUAGGCGGGCGAGCGGGCGCGUCGGUACCGCCUCAGGGAGCUGUACAGGGAGCUCCUGUAGUAGUUCUCGUUGUUCUUCCCGUUGAGGAGCAGGCCGCCCCCACCGGCGGCGGCGCUCCCAGCGGCGCCUAGACGGCGGCGGCGGCCUCCGCAGCCGGGGUUGUCCGCGCGGAAGUUCUCCAGCCCCUUGUCCCGCCGCGGGAUGGUCGGCGGCUUCCAUGCUUGCUUAGCGUGCCCGAUACGAAGCGCGGCAGCCGCCUCCUACCAGAAGGCGAAAGCGGCUCCGCCCCCUCCUACUAGACCACCAAAAGAGUGAGACCACACUGCGCUAGGUCCGGGGCCUUAGCCGCACCGUCGUGCUGUACAUGAGCCUGCGGAGACGCUCUCCGCCGCCGCCGCCCUCCCAGAGCCGAUAGCUCUGGCCGUGGUUCGAGGAGUAGUGGUUAAACCUGAAGCCGCAGAGUUGGCUCCUGGAGUUCCUCGAAAAGAGGCUCGACCCACUACACUUCGCUACGAACUAAGUGAUACUGGCUUCACCCUCCAGAUUCCCUUGUCGACUCCAAUAUAAACGUUCCGCACCACUACGACAACGUCGCGACUCCUUUAUGUUGUUACAGGUUGAACUACCGUUCGGAUACUUUUAUCUCUAUGAACCCUGAUUGUGAGGAUGACGAGGUCGGCGUGAUGGCUGGUUAUUACCUUCGAUACGAUCCUUACAACGAUUCUCACGUGGUUCCCCACAGAGUCGAUCAAACGGUGUCUUGUCUGGGGCACGUUCCCCACCCUCCCCAGCGGCACCGCCACCGCCUCCGUCACCUAGACCGCCAGCAGCACCCUUUCUCGCAUCAGUCGGUUCCAGACGACUUCUUGAACUACGACUCAACCUCUUCAUGGUACGUGUCCCAUGCUGCGGCUACGUCUGGUGGCUUAUUUAGCUGUAGAAACGUCGGAACUAUAAAGUUGUACUUUAAACUUCCCCGCGGGGAAACAAGGGCGAAAAACACGAUGAUAUACAAGUUCCCUGUUGUUUUGGAAAAUGAACAGUCCAAGAACCGAAUGACUUAACAUACCCAAUACACAGAUGUAUCUUGAUCUCAACUUACCUAUGGCCAGUUGGCCACUUGUGAUGACAAUACUUGUAAUGAACUAACGGAAAUCAAAGACGGAAGGAACUCCUUGCGUUCCUGAUUCCUGGUGGGUUCAACGAGGCGUACACUUUCAAUAACUUCUACAUACUCCACGAGUGUAAGGAAACGGCGGUUAGAUAGUACUCCGACUUUAAGUCUACACGGUACCACUAGUUCGAUUUGGGAAUAAAACCCACCAGAAACCCGCAACAAAGGGGCGACUUGCUAGAAAAUUCGAAGUCGGUAGAAAUCAUUCUCCACCAACGAUGAGAAUACAAUAAUAAUACGAUCGUAACGAAAUAAGAGAACGGGUAUCGUUUUGGUGUACGGUUGACCUCUGCAACACACUAGAAGGAAGGGGUCCACGAAUUGUUCAAUGGACCAUACCAAUAACACCGAAACGAUUAACACGAAGAAGUAUUCGUUCCACGUUUAGAUCGUUAUAAGAGAAGUGCAUGGCUCAGUGUACGGUCGACCUCCCCAUGACAAGAAAAUCUUCAAAACGCACUAGAAGGAAGAAGUCCCCAGUUGUUUCACAGACUAUACUCAUACCACCUAAGCGAUCAACCCGAAGAAUGACUUCUUCGUAAUUCCACGUUUAGAACGAAACGCUAGACAAUUGUCAAUUCCCAACGGUUAACCAAACCACCACGUGUCUAAAGGGUAAGCAACCUGCGGGGAAACCGGGGAACGUCGACGACUGAAGUAAAUACUACCAACCCGGAAAGACAAACUUUAAGUUGAUCCGUAGUUUCAUGAUAAACCUUGGGUUGAUUAGACCGACUAGAUAAGUUGAUAUAGAAAUAAGGAACGACCCCUAGACUUCGCAUCCAAGCUUAAAACGACAACCCAACGUACUAACGUCUACUUACUACCGAACGUCAACCGGUUAGUCGAAUUCUCAAAAACCACCGUACUAUUUGCCGUACUAUUUGGUGGCUUCAUGACUCAACGAAAAAAAGACAACAAAAUCAUAACAAAACAACGACGACGAUAACAAACCUUGACGGUAUAUCUAACACAACACAACCUAAAAUACGAAGACUCCUUUACCGUAAAGCGACACGAAGAAAAAAAC